GUUUUAGUAGUUGAAUAACAACGGCGGUUUUUCGAGUCGCAGGUUUUGGCAUGAGUCAAAUUAAAAUA
rnacentral:tRNA from 1 species